rnacentral:rRNA from 1 species
GACGAACGCUGGCGGCGUGCUUAACACAUGCAAGUCGAACGAAGAGCGAUGGAAGCUUGCUUCUAUCAAUCUUAGUGGCGAACGGGUGAGUAACGCGUAAUCAACCUGCCCUUCAGAGGGGGACAACAGUUGGAAACGACUGCUAAUACCGCAUACGAUCUAAUCUCGGCAUCGAGGAUAGAUGAAAGGUGGCCUCUACAUGUAAGCUAUCACUGAAGGAGGGGAUUGCGUCUGAUUAGCUAGUUGGAGGGGUAACGGCCCACCAAGGCGAUGAUCAGUAGCCGGUCUGAGAGGAUGAACGGCCACAUUGGGACUGAGACACGGCCCAGACUCCUACGGGAGGCAGCAGUGGGGAAUCUUCCGCAAUGGACAAAAGUCUGACGGAGCAACGCCGCGUGAGUGAUGACGGCCUUCGGGUUGUAAAGCUCUGUUAAUCGGGACGAAAGGCCUUCUUGCGAAUAGUGAGAAGGAUUGACGGUACCGGAAUAGAAAGCCACGGCUAACUACGUG